rnacentral:rRNA from 1 species
GACGAACGCUGGCGGCGUGCUUAACACAUGCAAGUCGAACGGAAAGGCCCUGCUUUUGUGGGGUGCUCGAGUGGCGAACGGGUGAGUAACACGUGAGUAACCUGCCCUUGACUUUGGGAUAACUUCAGGAAACUGGGGCUAAUACCGGAUAGGAGCUCCUGCUGCAUGGUGGGGGUUGGAAAGUUUCGGCGGUUGGGGAUGGACUCGCGGCUUAUCAGCUUGUUGGUGGGGUAGUGGCUUACCAAGGCUUUGACGGGUAGCCGGCCUGAGAGGGUGACCGGCCACAUUGGGACUGAGAUACGGCCCAGACUCCUACGGGAGGCAGCAGUGAGGAAUAUUGCGCAAUGGGCGGAAGCCUGAUGCAGCAACGCCGCGUGCGGGAUGACGGCCUUCGGGUUGUAAACCGCUUUCGCCUGUGACGAAGCGUGAGUGACGGUAAUGGGUAAAGAAGCACCGGCUAACUACGUG